UUCUCGCUUCUUAUUGGCUUUCUAAUGAACUUAAGUGCCCUCAGGUGCGCGUGCGGAGCUUCUUUAGGGUUUGUUUUUAGUGUUUCUGGUGUUCUUCUGUGAUGGCGACACCGUGCAGGGUUCAGCUCACUACUCUGGCUGUUUACUCUGAUGUUAAUACCCCUAGUGAGAGUGAUUUACCCCAGACAGUGGAGUUAGUUACCCCUCCUGCCCCACCCUCACUCAGUGCCAGGAUUGAGCUCGUGCUCUUUGAGCCGGAUGGCACGCGCUGUGCGGAGUUUCACUAUCCACAGCUCACAGAGGUGAGAAGAAGUGAAGUGGAUGGAGAUGGAGAUGGAGAUGAGCUUCAGGAUCUGGUCACAAAGUUACAGAAGAAACACGUGAGUGAAAAACACGGUGAAGCUCCCAAACAGAGGAGAGACCGAGUGCAGGAUUUGAUGGAUUUGGGCGACGGAUAUGACGACACCGACUCCUUUAUCGAUAACUCUGAGGCUUAUGAUGAGUUGGUUCCUUCUUGUCUGACCACCAAGUAUGGAGGAUUUUACAUCAACAUCGGGACUCUUCAGUUCAGACCAGCUUCAGGUGAAGAAAAAGAAAGCGAUGACUUUGAGGAGAACUUUAAACCCAAGAAACGGAAGUUGAAUGAAGGAGGUGAUGUGAAGACGAAGAAGAAGAAGAAGAGAAAAGAUGACGUUCGGCCCAAAGGAGAAAACACAGAACACAGCGGAGUGUCAGUAGAUAAGAAAAAGAAGGUGAAUAAGCAUCAGCAGAACCUGAAUGACCUGUUGAGGAAAUUUCACAAGGAGAAGCUUCAGGAGCUCCAGCUGUUCAACAUGAAGCAGAUGGAACCUUCUCCAGCAGCUGACCAGGACUCCAAUGACAAGGCCGAAUCCUCAGCUGAUCUGAUGAUGAUUCUCGAUGGUGCUGAUGAUCAUCACCAAGCAGUGGAGCAGGAUGGGCUCCUGACUAACGAUCAGAUCCGAGAGACUCUAUCUGAGACGUUUCCUACUUCACUUCCUGAUGCCCCUACACUGGAGCCCAGCUUACAGGAACUUCCUCAGGAACCACAGAAUUACGAUCAGUUGACAUUCCUGAUCCAGAAGCUGGAGGAGAAGGUGUUCAGAGUCAUGCCUGAACAGAUCGACCGCUUCAACCAUCACUGCCGAGCUCACUCUGAAGCCAGAGCAGCCAAACUGGAGGUUGUGAAAGACAAGCAAGCUGGUGAAGGAUCAGAUGAAGAGGAGGACGAGUCGAGCGGAAAACGAGUUUUUGCACCUCGCAAGAGAUUCCGAUGGAACAAGGAGAUCAGGGAGGUGUUAUGUGAGGUGGUGAGGCUGAAGAUGAGUAGAUAUGAGCUGGAUGCUGCCACUGAUCAGAGUUUAGAAGAUUAUUUGAAGAGUUUUUUGGAGGCGAGCGUGAAAACCCUGUGGCCCAGAGGAUGGAUGCAGUCCAGGAUCCUGCUGAUCGAGAGUCGAAGAGUUCAUGCUCACAUCACCGGUGUAGUGGCGAGGAGGAGACCCCCGAGCGCUCGGACAACUGAGAAGGGUCGCUGUGGAGCUGGAGUCUGUCCUGGGAACACUGGGAGGAAGGUGGGAAUGUGGACCAGACUGGACAGCAGUCCUACGUCACGUCAGAAAAAAUUACAUUCACAUGUAGAAAAGCUCCACAUGAACAUGAGGAAGGACCCUGGAGCAGUGAUGGAGGUUCGGUGUAGUGCGGCAGGAGGAGACGGAGUGACCAGAGAGAGUUUAGAAGCGCUGUAUAGAUGCUGAUCUUUAUCAGAACGUCUGCAGGAGAUGUCACGUGGUUGUUUUGAGGAACACACGGAUGUUCAGACGGUUCCUACUACCAAAGUGCAAUCAGGAGCCAAGUUGAACAGUAAGAUCUCGUCUACGAGUGGAGGCUUGUCUGUUCCUCCUGCCGAGGUAAAGAAACCUCAGAACAUCUCGAGUGUCCAUCGAGACGUCUACAGGCACAUCUACAGAGCUCCUUUUACUUCGGCUGUGGCAGCGAUGGAGGGUUCGUGUGGAGAUCCGGCUCUUCCCACUCCAUCUCUCUCUCACCAGAUGUCCUCUCCUCCCAGUGCUCCAGGAUCAGGAGCGUUCAUGAUGGUUCCACGUCCACAUGCUGAAGCCUUCAACAGUUUUCCUCAUGAUUCCAAACCUACUGCUCACAUGGAGAUCUGCACAACAUCCACACUCACCAGUGCUGGAACUGGAACCUUCUCACACGGUGACAUUCCAUGAUGGAACCUCCACCAUGUUGAACAGAAGUUUCCUACAUGACCCAAAAUGCUGAUCUUCAUCACCUCUUCAUCUGUGCACAACGUCCUACUUCUCCUCUGUAUCAGAGCACAAAGAGAAUCAAGUUCUGGACUUUUAUUUACAGCGACACUGAGAAUUGUUUUGUAUUAAUAAAUAAAUAAAUAAAUAAAUAAAAUUCGAGUUAAAAUGUAAA